ACUAAAUCCAUGCAAUGCAGCUGGAGGAUGCCAAGGCUAAAAGAGAGACUGCUGGAUGGGAAACCACUGUAAAUAAUUAAACAUAUUCAUCAUCCCAUAGAAGUCAUGAAAUGAUGACUUAGGCAAGGUUUCAAAAAUUUAUUUUUAUUUCGUGUGCAUUGGUAUUUUGCCCACAUGAAUGUCUAGAAGAGGGUGUUGGAUCCCCUGGAACUGGAGCUACAUACAGUAAUGAGCUGCCCUGUGGAACUGAACCCGGGUCCUCUGGAAGAACAGCCAGUAAGUAGUGGUAAUUUAAAGGUUGUUAUAUUUUAAAAGGAUUUUCCUUAGAUGUAGGAGUGGCAAUGGUUUCUCUUUAUCCUUUUUAUACUUUUACUAAAUAUGCAGCAUUUUCUAAGGAAUAGUCGUUAAACACA
rnacentral:lncRNA from 1 species